UAUGAAUCUUGAUGAGUUGGAGUCUAUGCCAGAAAUCUCGUGAAAAAUCAACAAGCCGCCAAGGGUCAUGGCAAAGUUCUCAGGCACGUCUUUAAAGAUGAUGCAUCAACAGUGACAGCUGCCACAAGAAAUCCCUGACUCAGCAAAACACAUCAGAACUGCAUCCUGUCCACACGUGGACGUCGAGAAACACUCUAUUGCCUUGAGAAUGAACUCUACAGGUAUUUUCACAGUUUAUCUCUCUUUGAGAUAUAAGAAUUAACUAACAAGUUUUCUUUUCACAAGAGGGCCUAUUUUUAUUACUGCAUUCUUUUGAACUUUUUUUUUCUGAAGUUAAUUAAGCCUUCCCUUUGAAUUACUUUACUAUGUCAUACUAAAAGGCUAAAAUGGUGGCACAUAGACUGCCAAGUUAAAAUAAUCACUGAUUUCUAUCACUAAAUAAGUUUUAAUCACUUUCUAUAAGUGUUUACUCAGAUUUGGAAUUAUAUUCUCACCUUUAAUCCUCAGAAGUCCAGGGAAAGCCUUCAAUAAGAACUAAUAUUGUUACGCAUUGCUAUAAAUUUCAACAAAAUCUGUGCAUUUAAGUCUAUUUUUGCAGUGAAACUGGGGCAUUGUUAAAAAUGCAAUAUCAACUAAAAUUGACCACACAUAUCUUAAAACCUGGAGAUCAUAAACAGCCUUAAACACUGUGAAUUAGCAUAUGCAUGUUAUCUACAGCAGCAAAUAAUAUUGCAAUUUUAAAAAAGUCUUAGGUAUAAAUUAUAAUUCAUUCACGAUGCUUACAAAUGAAUUAUCAUAUUCAGAUCUAACUACAUAUUUAUGAGAUUCGAGCCAGGUGUUUAUCAUCUUCAAUGUAUAAAUAAUGCAAACGGGUUCUAUGGCAUAGCUGGGACUAAAACGUCUGUUGCAUAACUUCUACUGUUUUCCUUUGCACAUUGGCUUUUUGAUUUAUACAUUUGUUGUUAAAGACUGUUUUGAUUUUAAUAGAAAUGUCCAGUUUUAAUAAUUUAUCUUCACUAUGACUAUGAGAAUUUCACAGCAGGGAGCCCAACUUAGUUGAUAUCUUAAUUUUGUGGCAUUUUCAUUGGUUUAAUGAGAUCUCAUUUAAGUUAACAAAGCUAAAAUCUCAUUAAAUGUAUAAACAAGCUCUUAUGUAAUAAAUCUUCUAAUGGCUUAUGCAUUUUUAAGGCAUUACUCACUUUUUUGGUGUUUGCUUACAACAUGCAUUUGCUUUAUAUUCAGUUAUUUAAACUGAAAGUGAGUUUAUCUACUAGUAGUUUAAU
rnacentral:lncRNA from 1 species